AAUAAUUCAAAUGUUAUUGCAGUAACUUGGGUGCACAUUUCUGUUUCUCACAGGACUGUGCACUUUUGAGGGGAGGGCCUGACCUUUGUUGGUCUCUGAAUGUCCAACAGAGAGCCUGAAUGUCCAACAGGAGGCAUGAAUGCAAGAUAGUACCCCAGUGAAUGAAUGCAGUAGAAGGAAGACCCAGCAUAGCUGGAAAUUCUCCGUCAGUGCAAAAGACUGGGGCAGAAGUUUUACAUAAAGCUGUGAAGAAUAAUAUAUGGAGAGUCAGGGAGACGGUUGUCACCCUGUAGAGAGACUGUGAUCAGAGAUGUCCUCACUUUUCCUGUCCCUGCGAGUAGUGAGGAGUGAAGUGAGGGAGAUUCUGACAUCGAUGUUAGACCUUCCGCAGUGGCACAAAGCACAGAAUAUGGCAUUUUAUUCAGCUGGCUUCUCUGGCCCUCUGGCUCCUCAGCAGCAGACUACAGAUGACAAGCCACAGCCCCUGGGAUUGUUAUGAUUGCCAAUCGGGUGCGUCAAGAAAGCCCCCAGCACAGAGUUGGUAUUUAAUGUUUCUUCUCGCCCACAAUUACGCAUUCGAGCUUGGGAAAACAACCUUUGACAGCCAACAUUUCCACCACGUUGUUCUUGGGUGAGGGCAAAAAUAGCUUCAGUUUGUCAAGCGGCGACUAUAUUCCAGGCACUGGACUAGUUCUUCGUGUGCAUUAUGUACACUCAGUACCGACAGCAGCUUGACAAGGACGGUGGUGGUGUUGAUUCUAUCUUGUUGGUGUGAAAACUGAAAUUCACAGAUAUUAACAGAUUCGCACAGGGACGGUCUGAGCAUAAGCCUGGCACCGCACGUCGUGGCAAUCCAUUCCCGCGUCACAUAAUAUGGACUGCCUCUCUGUCCUCCUCUUCUGCUUGGAGACACAAGAAAGCUCGGCAGCUGGAGUUUUGCAUCAGAAAUAUGUUUGUGAUUUGGAAAGCGGCAACAGCAGCUUCCCCUCUUUCAGAUCUUAACAGCAGUAGAGCCAGUAGUUCACCAGUGGCUCCCUCGUGUGCAUCCCUCUGGUCUUUUUAAUGCUUUUAUAAGUGCCUGGUUUCUUAUAUUAAGUCUUUUUGUGUCACAAAUACAUUGAGUUAAAUUCUGU
rnacentral:lncRNA from 1 species